rnacentral:rRNA from 1 species
AGGACUAACGCUGGCGGCGUGCCUAACACAUGCAAGUCGAACGAGGGGUAGCAAUACCCCUAGUGGCAGACGGGUGAGUAACACGUAGUCAACCUACCUCUUAAUGGGGGAUAACUAGCCGAAAGGUUAGCUAAUACCGCAUACGAUCGUCGAGUGGCAUCACACGACGAUGAAAGGAGCAAUCCGUUGAGAGAGGGGACUGCGUCCCAUUAGUUAGUUGGUGGGGUAAUGGCCUACCAAGACUCCGAUGGGUAGCUGGCUUGAGAGAGCGACCAGCCACACUGGAACUGAGACACGGUCCAGACUCCUACGGGAGGCAGCAGUGAGGAAUUUUCCGCAAUGGGGGAAACCCUGACGGAGCGACGCCGCGUGUGGGAAGAAGGCCUUCGGGUCGUAAACCACUGUCGAGGGGACGAUAUUGACGGUACCCCUGGAGGAAGCCCGGCUAACUACGUGCCAGCGGCCGC